rnacentral:rRNA from 1 species
UACGAAGGGGGCUAGCGUUGCUCGGAAUCACUGGGCGUAAAGGGUGCGUAGGCGGGUCUUUAAGUCAGGGGUGAAAUCCUGGAGCUCAACUCCAGAACUGCCUUUGAUACUGAAGAUCUUGAGUUCGGGAGAGGUGAGUGGAACUGCGAGUGUAGAGGUGAAAUUCGUAGAUAUUCGCAAGAACACCAGUGGCGAAGGCGGCUCACUGGCCCGAUACUGACGCUGAGGCACGAAAGCGUGGGAGCAACAGGGAUAAGAUA